UGCUGCGCGCGGGCGGGGCUCCCGCCCGCCGGCCUGGGACAGUGUGUGAGCGGCAGAGGCCCGGGGCCGAGAAGCCUGGGCGCGCGGGGCGGGCGCGGAGGGGCGGAAGGGGAGGCCGGAUGGGGUGAGGGUAGAACCCGGGAGGGCGCUGCCUGUGAGUGGCGCCAGGAUGGAUGUGCCCAGCGCAGCCUCCGCACACUCUCCUGGGAACAAUGAGACCCAACAAAGGGUUCUCGGCUCUCCCACGUGGUGAACCGCGUCCUUCGCUCGCUCUGCAAAAAGGCGCCAGGCACACUGUCGCCAGGGGAAACCCCAUCAGGCUCCUGACCCUACUUCCUUGGGCUCAGACAUCCCCCAUCAAGCCUGGAAACGGCGCAGGCCCAGAAACCUAGUCCAGAAGUUACCCCCAGGAAACCCACAGCCCCCGAGACACUCUCUUUCAUAGGGAGCACUCUUACCAUUGCUAAAUUGGGAGCAGUUAUGGAAUUGCCUGCGAUCAUACCUGGGGAAUGGUGCGGUUGCUGUGCCGAAGCCAUCAGACCAUUUGCUUCCCAGACGUGCACCCUUAGCUCGGACUUUCACUUCUUCAUCACGGUCCUGAAGGGCAAAGCGGCCCGUGUUCUCAUUGUGCACUUGUACGUUGUGCUAGAGGCUUGGCUCUAGAUCCCAGCGUGCUGAGCCACAGUCCGCCUUGACUGCCCGGCCUCUGCUUGUGCAGGACAUUUGGCUAGCAAAUGUAGCCUGGAAAUUUGCCUUCUCUCUGCAUAAGGUCUCCCAGCCCCCUCUGCCUUUUGUGGAAGGCAUUCACUGCUUUUGUCAUUACUUUGUAAUGACCACCUGGGUUCCUCACUAAAUCAUAAGCUCCAUGUGAGCUCUAUCUCCAGAUUCUAACUUAAAAAAAAAAAAAAAA